AGAGUUUGAUCAUGGCUCAGAACGUACGCUGGCGGCACGCCUAACACAUGCAAGUCGAACGAAGUAGCAAUACUUAGUGGCAGACGGGUGAGUAACAUGUAGGUAUCUGCCCUUUGGCCUGGAAUAACACGAGGAAACUUGUGCUAAUACCGGAUAAGUCUUUACGGAGAAAGCUUUAUGCACCAUUGGAUGAGCCUGCACUUGAUUAGUUUGUUGGUGGGGUAAUGGCCUACCAAGACUGUGAUCAAUAGCUGAUUUGAGAGGAUGAUCAGCCACAUUGGGACUGAGACACGGCCCAAACUCCUACGGGAGGCAGCAGUGGGGAAUCUUGCACAAUGGAGGAAACUCUGAUGCAGCGAUGCCGCGUGAGUGAAGAAGGCCCUUGGGUUGUAAAGCUCUUUCGUCGGGGAAGAAAAUGACUGUACCCGAAUAAGAAGGUCCGGCUAACUUCGUGCCAGCAGCCGCGGUGAUACGAAGGGACCUAGCGUAGUUCGGAAUUACUGGGCUUAAAGAGUUCGCAGGUGGUUGAAAAAGUUAGUGGUGAAAUCCCAGAGCUUAACUCUGGAACUGCCAUUAAAACUUUUCAGCUAGAGUAUGAUAGAGGAAAGCAGAAUUUCUAGUGUAGAGGUGAAAUUCGUAGAUAUUAGAAAGAAUACCAAUUGCGAAGGCAGCUUUCUGGAUCAUUACUGACACUGAGGAGCGAAAGCAUGGGUAGCGAAGAGGAUUAGAUACCCUCGUAGUCCAUGCCGUAAACGAUGUGUGUUAGACGUUGGAAAUUUAUUUUCAGUGUCGCAGGGAAACCGAUAAACACACCGCCUGGGGAGUACGACCGCAAGGUUAAAACUCAAAUGAAUUGACGGGGACCCGCACAAGUAGUGGAGCAUGUGGUUUAAUUCGAAGAUACGCGCAGAACCUUACCAACACUUGACAUGUUCGUCGCGACUCUAAGAGAUUAGAGUUUUCGGUUCGGCCGGACGAAACACAGGUGCUGCAUGGCUGUCGUCAGCUCGUGUCGUGAGAUGUUGGGUUAAGUCCCGCAACGAGCGCAACCCUCACUUUUAGUUGCCAUCAUUAAGUUGGGCACUCUGAAAGAACUGCCAGUGAUAAGCUGGAGGAAGGUGGGGAUGACGUCAAGUCCUCAUGGCCCUUACGUGUUGGGCUACACACGUGCUACAAUGGUAUCUACAACAGGAAGCAAGACUGCGAAGUUAAGCAAAUCCCUAAAAGAUACCUCAGUUCGGAUUGCACUCUGCAACUCGAGUGCAUGAAGCUGGAAUUACUAGUAAUCGUGGAUCAGCGUGCCACGGUGAAUGCGUUCCCGGGUCUUGUACACACCGCCCGUCACACCAUGGGAGUUGGUUCUACCUUAAGGCAAGGUUUCAAACCCUUGACCACGGUAUAGUCAGCGACUGGGGUGAAGUCGUAACAAGGUA
rnacentral:rRNA from 1 species